GAAAUGGAAGUCGCCAAAACGUUGAGCUUCAGAUUUCCUAUAUAAGACACAGUUUCUGUUAAACAAACCACCAGUCUUCUACAGACCACAACGUAAAAAUGAACAAGUCAGCACUUCUCCUGUUGCUCGUCAUCGGACUCCUCGUUCUCACUGAAACCACUGAUGCCUAUUGGGGUCGUCGUCGUCGUCGCAGAUAUCGUUCUGCAUACAGCCAAAAGUCAACAAGUGUUGAAGAAAAUGAUGUAAUGAUGAAUGAAAUUAUGC